GACGAACGCUGGCGGCGUGCUUAACACAUGCAAGUCGAACGGAAAGGCCCUGCUUUUGUGGGGUGCUCGAGUGGCGAACGGGUGAGUAACACGUGAGUAACCUGCCCUUGACUUUGGGAUAACUUCAGGAAACUGGGGCUAAUACCGGAUAGGAGCUCCUGCUGCAUGGUGGGGGUUGGAAAGUUUCGGCGGUUGGGGAUGGACUCGCGGCUUAUCAGCUUGUUGGUGGGGUAGUGGCUUACCAAGGCUUUGACGGGUAGCCGGCCUGAGAGGGUGACCGGCCACAUUGGGACUGAGAUACGGCCCAGACUCCUACGGGAGGCAGCAGUGGGGAAUAUUGCACAGUGGGCGGAAGCCUGAUGCAGCAACGCCGCGUGCGGGAUGACGGCCUUCGGGUUGUAAACCGCUUUCGCCUGUGACGAAGCGUGAGUGACGGUAAUGGGUAAAGAAGCACCGGCUAACUACGUGCCAGCAGCCGCGGUGAUACGUAGGGUGCGAGCGUUGUCCGGAUUUAUUGGGCGUAAAGGGCUCGUAGGUGGUUGAUCGCGUCGAAAGUGUAAUCUUGGGGCUUAACCCUGAGCGUGCUUUCGAUACGGGUUGACUUGAGGAAGGUAGGGGAGAAUGGAAUUCCUGGUGGAGCGGUGGAAUGCGCAGAUAUCAGGAGGAACACCAGUGGCGAAGGCGGUUCUCUGGGCCUUUCCUGACGCUGAGGAGCGAAAGCGUGGGGAGCGAACAGGCUUAGAUACCCUGGUAGUCCACGCUGUAAACGGUGGGUACUAGGUGUGGGGUCCAUUCCACGGGUUCCGUGCCGUAGCUAACGCUUUAAGUACCCCGCCUGGGGAGUACGGCCGCAAGGCUAAAACUCAAAGGAAUUGACGGGGCCCCGCACAAGCGGCGGAGCAUGCGGAUUAAUUCGAUGCAACGCGUAGAACCUUACCUGGGUUUGACAUGGAUCGGGAGUGCUCAGAGAUGGGUGUGCCUCUUUUGGGGUCGGUUCACAGGUGGUGCAUGGCUGUCGUCAGCUCGUGUCGUGAGAUGUUGGGUUAAGUCCCGCAACGAGCGCAACCCUUGUUCACUGUUGCCAGCACGUUAUGGUGGGGACUCAGUGGAGACCGCCGGGGUCAACUCGGAGGAAGGUGGGGAUGACGUCAAGUCAUCAUGCCCUUUAUGUCCAGGGCUUCACGCAUGCUACAAUGGCUGGUAUAGAGAGUGGCGAGCCUGUGAGGGUGAGCGAAUCUCGGAAAGCCGGUCUCAGUUCGGAUUGGGGUCUGCAACUCGACCUCAUGAAGUCGGAGUCGCUAGUAAUCGCAGAUCAGCAACGCUGCGGUGAAUACGUUCCCGGG
rnacentral:rRNA from 1 species